GCCAGCUAAUGACGGCUUGUUUGUCAAGCCACACAGUGGGGUAAACAAGUCUGAUGAAUUCUGGC
rfam:Alligator mississippiensis ScZkoYb_555, whole genome shotgun sequence.